ACAUACUCCAGAGGAAAACAUAGUUGAUGAGCCAGAGAAUCCUAUUUUCUAAAUGUGGAAACUUCAGUCAUUGAUAGCGUGGUCCAAAAUUCUGAGUGCCGGAUUUACCGAUAUAUUGUCAUAUUGGUUACCAACUACCUGUGUAAAUAGCAGAGAAAUGCUGGAUAAUCAAGAGCUAGGAUUUGAUUGAAUGUUCCCGUUUGGGAUCAUUUCAACUUUAACACAAUACACACUAGGCAAUUCAGAAUGGUUGCAUUGGAAGAAAUUGUGCUGGCACCAGUAAAGCUCAUGAAUAAUCCUGUGGUGGAAAACUGAACUUCCUACCUCACCAGGAAGAAGAGUUUGUUAGCUCUAAAUAAUAAUGGAACAUGCCUGAAUUACAAGUCAUCACAAACUGGCCUUCAUUCCAUUCAUGACCCUUUACUAUUGCUUGAUGUGGUCAAGCAAAUUUGGUCCAAACUGGCAUCAGCAAGCCGGAGAAAUCAAGUCUGACUGUAAAUUAGCCAAACAAAAUUUAACAGCAGCCUGCAGCUGAUCAGCUAUAGAGAACGGUGGAAAUUAGGGCAACCAG